ACUGUGGUAGAAAUUACUGAUUAUAUUCUAUGGUAAACUGUGAUUAUUAUGAGGUCUUUUAUAUCUAAUAGUGGAAAACACACGGUGCCUAGGUGUCUGGGUUUAGAACAGAUGGAGCCCCCCUAAAAGGAGCAGGGCUAUCUUUGCAGACCAUUUGUUGUCUAUUUUCUGUCCAUUCAGGUUAAAGUGGAUUUAUGACUGAAUGGAGGCAGACACCUCAAGGAGAAGCUGCUCUGUUUGUGUGUAUAAAAAGACGCCGCAGUUUGCGAACGACAGUGACUCUGCAAACCCACUCAGGCUGUUGUCGUUGUUGUUUUUCUUCACGAUAAAGUCUUUUUCAAUUCUUGCUCCGGACCCCUCGAUUUCUUUUACUCUCUCUCUUAAAUUAGUCUAAGUGUUUUAAAUCUCGAUUAAUCUCCGACAUAAUUGGCGUCACGACCAGGAGGAAAUAGGGACUCGUCAGCUGCCGGGCCAGAGGACGGGACGCGAACGGAUCAUACGACCAGAGCUCAAGGGUAAGUUGUCUUGCCAUAUAUAGGAUAGAGUCGUUUGAUCUGUUCUUGCCCCGUCUGAACGCCGAGCAGCAGAUGGGUGGAAGCAGUCCCAUCAGAAGACCAAAGUGCGGCUACGGUAAUCAAGGCUCUGACGAGAGAAGUCAUGGCAAGGUUUGGAAUUCCGUCACAAAUUAGCUCAGACGACAGAGCAGCGUUUGUUCAGAAAACACUCAGACAGGUGAUUUAACAUCUGCAUGUCAAAUAAAGACUAGUCCGUGUCUACAUUCCUCAAACCACAAGGUAUGGUGGAGAGAGGAAUGGGACGCUUAAGACAAAGAUUAACAAAAUUAAAUUAGAGUACUAAAUUGGAGGACUAAUGCACUACGACUGACACUAAUGAGUUAUCGCAUGAAAACUAACAGAACGACGCAUCUAACCCCGCAUGAAAUGCUUACGGGUCGACCCAUGCCUUCACCUGUCAUUCGAGGGCCUCAUAAAGGACCUCCAUUAGAACAAUUGGAAACUGAAUUAAGACGUUAUAUGGGACAACUAACUGGCAUACAAAGGCUUAUUUUUCAACAAGAGAAAGACAGAGUUCCAGAGUUGGAGAAGGAGCCACCAAGGGGGGUGGAGCCAGGUGACCAAGUGUAUCUCAGGAUGUUCAGGAGAAAGUGGAACGAGCCCAGAGAAGGACCAUACAAAGUCACCAACGCAACACCAACAGCCAUCCAAGUGGAAGGAAGUGCCACGUGGUAUCAUCUCAACCACUGCACAAAAGCCGCUCAACCUAAAGCCAGGGAUGAGCAUGAGGAGGAGGAGCCAGACGCAGACACGCCUGGGGCUGACCAGCUGCCCCAGGACCAGAUCCAGUUGAGUCAAGAGAUUCAGCAACAUGAUAAUGCUGAAAACGGGGAGCCUGUUCCUGAUCCUUUACGGGUUGUGCCAGAUUCCGCUGGCACAAGGACAGACCCCGAGGAAGGAUGAAACCACGGAGACAACACAGACCUGGAAGAGCCAGGAAUCAGGGGCUGGUACUGAAGGAAGCCAGAGAGAAUAUAUACUUCUUAAAGCUGUGGCUUGGCAGAACAGACAGGCCUUAGAUUGGCUUUUAGCAGAAAAGGGGGGAGUUUGUGAUCUUAUAGGUGAAAUGUGUUGUACCUUCAUUCCAAAUAAUACUGCCCCAGAUGGAUCAUUUACACUUGCGAUGAACAAUUAAAAACGUUUAAGAAAAGAAUUAAAGGAAAACGCAGGCCAUGAUCAGGGAAUGUUUGGAUGGCUUGAAACAAAGUUUGGUAUGUGGGGAAUGAUGUUCGCAAAGAUAGGAGUAGUGCUCCUAAUAGUACUAACAGUGAUGGGUCUGAUCUUUUGCUGCUGCAUUCCCAUAGUCAGAUCCGUAAUAGCAUCCAGGCUUUCUAAAGAGAUGGCCCUCAUGGUGACUGGCAUAGAGGAGGGUUGGGAGGGAGAGGGUGCGCCGAGAGGAUGGUCGCACUGACAAUGGCUCUGCAUGCACUACGCAGCUUUAUGUUUAUAAUUGUUUUUAUUGUUAGUUUUUUUGUCGCUCAUUCAGUAUGAUCGACUGGCACUUUUGGAAAUUCGUGAGUCACAGCGAGUGCUUGCUGUGACUCCUUUGUCUUACCGCCGGUAUGCCUACCAAUACGCCGACGGAAGAGAAAGAAGAGAGGCAAGCGAGCCGGCAUCCUGUGCAGAUCUCGGACGAGAUACUGCAACCCACCGCUUCCAAGCAUUCUACUAGCGAAUGUGCAAUCUUUGGACAAUAAACUGGACGAGCUACACGCACGGAUUGAAUUCCAGCGGGACAUUGCAAACUGUUGUGUACUGGCGUUUACCGAGACCUGGCUGGAUCCUAUGGUGCCUGACUCUGCCGUCACUCCGACCGGCUUCUCCAUCUACCGGCAGGACAGGACUUCCGAGUCAGGUAAAAGAAGGGGAGGAGGGGUAUGCUUGAUGGUUAACUCUCGCUGGGGCUCGGAUUUUGCUGCACUUUCAGCACACUGCUCACCAGACCUGGAGCUGUUAUCGAUUAAAGUUCGCCCCUUCUAGCUCCCAUGGGAAUUCAGCUCCGUUAUUGUCACAGCAGUAUACAUUCCACCGCAGGCGGACAAAACGUGCGCGUUAGAGGAACUUUACAGAGUAAUUAAUGGACUUGAGGAUGCUCACCCUGAGGCGGUUUCUAUUGUUGUUGGAGACUUCAAUAGGAC
ensembl:lncRNA